AACACAUGCAAGUCGAGGGGGCUGCCCUACCGGCAAACGGGUGCGGAACACGUACACAACCUACCCUUGUCUUGGGGAUAGCCUCCUGAAAAGGAGAUUAAUACCCAAUAGUAUACUGGAGUGGCAUCACUUUGGUAUUAAAGAAUUUCGGACAGGGAUGGGUGUGCGUAAGAUUAGGUAGUUGGUGGGGUAACGGCCCACCAAGCCCACGAUCUUUAGCUGAUGUGAGAGCAUGAUCAGCCACACGGGCACUGAGACACGGGCCCGACUCCUACGGGAGGCAGCAGUGAGGAAUAUUGGUCAAUGGACGCAAGUCUGAACCAGCCAUGCCGCGUGAAGGAUGAAGGCGUUCUGCGUUGUAAACUUCUUUUACCAGGGAAGAAAUCACUUUAUUCUUAGAGUGUUGACGGUACCUGGGGAAUAAG
rnacentral:rRNA from 1 species